GCACUACUGACGCGUCCCAAAUAUGACGAAACAGAUGUCCAGUGC
rnacentral:hammerhead_ribozyme from 1 species